AAUGGGUCAGCGACUUAUAUUCUGUAGCAAGGUUAACCGAAUAGGGGAGCCGAAGGGAAACCGAGUCUUAACUGGGCGUUAAGUUGCAGGGUAUAGACCCGAAACCCGGUGAUCUAGCCAUGGGCAGGUUGAAGGUUGGGUAACACUAACUGGAGGACCGAACCGACUAAUGUUGAAAAAUUAGCGGAUGACUUGUGGCUGGGGGUGAAAGGCCAAUCAAACCGGGAGAUAGCUGGUUCUCCCCGAAAGCUAUUUAGGUAGCGCCUCGUGAAUUCAUCUCCGGGGGUAGAGCACUGUUUCGGCAAGGGGGUCAUCCCGACUUACCAACCCGAUGCAAACUGCGAAUACCGGAGAAUGUUAUCACGGGAGACACACGGCGGGUGCUAACGUCCGUCGUGAAGAGGGAAACAACCCAGACCGCCAGCUAAGGUCCCAAAGUCAUGGUUAAGUGGGAAACGAUGUGGGAAGGCCCAGACAGCCAGGAUGUUGGCUUAGAAGCAGCCAUCAUUUAAAGAAAGCGUAAUAGCUCACUGGUCGAGUCGGCCUGCGCGGAAGAUGUAACGGGGCUAAACCAUGCACCGAAGCUGCGGCAGCGACGCUUAUGCGUUGUUGGGUAGGGGAGCGUUCUGUAAGCCUGUGAAGGUGUGCUGUGAGGCAUGCUGGAGGUAUCAGAAGUGCGAAUGCUGACAUAAGUAACGAUAAAGCGGGUGAAAAGCCCGCUCGCCGGAAGACCAAGGGUUCCUGUCCAACGUUAAUCGGGGCAGGGUGAGUCGACCCCUAAGGCGAGGCCGAAAGGCGUAGUCGAUGGGAAACAGGUUAAUAUUCCUGUACUUGGUGUUACUGCGAAGGGGGGACGGAGAAGGCUAUGUUGGCCGGGCGACGGUUGUCCCGGUUUAAGCGUGUAGGCUGGUUUUCCAGGCAAAUCCGGAAAAUCAAGGCUGAGGCGUGAUGACGAGGCACUACGGUGCUGAAGCAACAAAUGCCCUGCUUCCAGGAAAAGCCUCUAAGCAUCAGGUAACAUCAAAUCGUACCCCAAACCGACACAGGUGGUCAGGUAGAGAAUACCAAGGCGCUUGAGAGAACUCGGGUGAAGGAACUAGGCAAAAUGGUGCCGUAACUUCGGGAGAAGGCACGCUGAUAUGUAGGUGAAGUCCCUCGCGGAUGGAGCUGAAAUCAGUCGAAGAUACCAGCUGGCUGCAACUGUUUAUUAAAAACACAGCACUGUGCAAACACGAAAGUGGACGUAUACGGUGUGACGCCUGCCCGGUGCCGGAAGGUUAAUUGAUGGGGUUAGCGGUAACGCGAAGCUCUUGAUCGAAGCCCCGGUAAACGGCGGCCGUAACUAUAACGGUCCUAAGGUAGCGAAAUUCCUUGUCGGGUAAGUUCCGACCUGCACGAAUGGCGUAAUGAUGGCCAGGCUGUCUCCACCCGAGACUCAGUGAAAUUGAACUCGCUGUGAAGAUGCAGUGUACCCGCGGCAAGACGGAAAGACCCCGUGAACCUUUACUAUAGCUUGACACUGAACAUUGAGCCUUGAUGUGUAGGAUAGGUGGGAGGCUUUGAAGUGUGGACGCCAGUCUGCAUGGAGCCGACCUUGAAAUACCACCCUUUAAUGUUUGAUGUUCUAACGUUGACCCGUAAUCCGGGUUGCGGACAGUGUCUGGUGGGUAGUUUGACUGGGGCGGUCUCCUCCUAAAGAGUAACGGAGGAGCACGAAGGUUGGCUAAUCCUGGUCGGACAUCAGGAGGUUAGUGCAAUGGCAUAAGCCAGCUUGACUGCGAGCGUGACGGCGCGAGCAGGUGCGAAAGCAGGUCAUAGUGAUCCGGUGGUUCUGAAUGGAAGGGCCAUCGCUCAACGGAUAAAAGGUACUCCGGGGAUAACAGGCUGAUACCGCCCAAGAGUUCAUAUCGACGGCGGUGUUUGGCACCUCGAUGUCGGCUCAUCACAUCCUGGGGCUGAAGUAGGUCCCAAGGGUAUGGCUGUUCGCCAUUUAAAGUGGUACGCGAGCUGGGUUUAGAACGUCGUGAGACAGUUCGGUCCCUAUCUGCCGUGGGCGCUGGAGAACUGAGGGGGGCUGCUCCUAGUACGAGAGGACCGGAGUGGACGCAUCACUGGUGUUCGGGUUGUCAUGCCAAUGGCACUGCCCGGUAGCUAAAUGCGGAAGAGAUAAGUGCUGAAAGCAUCUAAGCACGAAACUUGCCCCGAGAUGAGUUCUCCCUGACUCCUUGAGAGUCCUGAAGGAACGUUGAAGACGACGACGUUGAUAGGCCGGGUGUGUAAGCGCAGCGAUGCGUUGAGCUAACCGGUACUAAUGAACCGUGAG
rnacentral:rRNA from 1 species